CAAGUGACCCCGGUCUUACCACCGGGAUGUUCAUAACCCUUUGUUGUCCGACUCUGUUGCCUCCGGGGCGACCCUGCCUUCGGGCGGGGGCUCCGGGUGGACACUUCAAACUCUUGCGUAACUUUGCAGUCUGAGUAAACUUAAUUAAUAAAUUAAAACUUUUAACAACGGAUCUCUUGGUUCUGGCAUCGAUGAAGAACGCAGCGAAAUGCGAUAAGUAAUGUGAAUUGCAGAAUUCAGUGAAUCAUCGAAUCUUUGAACGCACAUUGCGCCCCCUGGUAUUCCGGGGGGCAUGCCUGUUCGAGCGUCAUUUCACCACUCAAGCCUCGCUUGGUAUUGGGCAACGCGGUCCGCCGCGUGCCUCAAAUCGACCGGCUGGGUCUUCUGUCCCCUAAGCGUUGUGGAAACUAUUCGCUAAAGGGUGUUCGGGAGGCUACGCCGUAAAACAACCCCAUUUCUAAG
rnacentral:misc_RNA from 1 species